CUGGGGUUGGAGUGCAGGGAGGGGCUCUGAGCAAAGCCUGCCCAGAGAACAUGGAUGACGAGCUCUCGAUCCUGCUGACAGCACCCCCCAGCACAGACAAACUCCAGCACAUCUUGGAGGGUGGGAAACCGAGACACAGUUGGGACCUGUCUACACUACAGGUCUGUCGUGCAUUUGUAAUCUGCUGACCCCCACAUGUUGUUCAGAGCCUAUGGACAACACAGCUCCUAAAGUGCUUAUCCCGUAUGUACCAGCAGGGCUGGACGGGCUUUCUCACUGUGCUGUGGGGAGCAGGUCCUGGGUACUAAGGGUCUGAAGAAGCUCUCAAGGACUAAUUUUUUAAAAUAAUUGUUAUCAAUGAAUUGGGAGAAAACAUACAAUCACUGCAGAUAAGAUUGGGGGGUGACAAAAUACAGGCAGAGUGGUAAUUCCUGAUGGCGAGAGGGCAGUGAUACAGAGCGAUCUGGUUCAUUCGGCCAGCUGGACCCAUUCAAAGAAAACAAGUUUGAGCAGAGCCCAAUGCAAGGUCCUAUACGUAGCCACAAGGCACGCCGGCCACACCUCCAGAAUGGGGACGUGUAUCCAGGAAAGCAGUGACUCUGAAAAGGAUUUAGGGGCCAGAGUGGAGAAGCCACUCAACAUGAGCUCCCAGUGUGAUGCUGUGGUGAACAGGGCUAAAGCCAUCAUUAGACGUAGGAGCAGAGCCGUGAGUAGGAUAGGGAGGUGACACAGCAGCAGUGAGACUGCUAUUGGAAUACUGCCUCCAGUCCUGGUGUUCUCCUUUGAAAAAGAUGGUCCUAGAAAUUGGAGCUGGGGCAGCAAAGAGCCACCAAAUGUUCUGAGGGCUGGAGAAAAAUGCCUUCUAGUGAGCUAUUGAAAG